rnacentral:rRNA from 1 species
GCAGAGAACUUUCCAGAGAUGGAUUGGUGCCUUCGGGAACUCUGACACAGGUGCUGCAUGGCUGUCGUCAGCUCGUGUCGUGAGAUGUUGGGUUAAGUCCGUAACGAGCGCAACCCUUGUCCUUAGUUACCAGCACGUUAUGGUGGGCACUCUAAGGAGACUGCCGGUGACAAACCGGAGGAAGGUGGGGAUGGCGUCAAGUCAUCAUGGCCCUUACGGCCUGGGCUACACACGUGCUACAAUGGUCGGUACAAAGGGUUGCCAAGCCGCGAGGUGGAGCUAAUCCCAUAAAACCGAUCGUAGUCCGGAUCGCAGUCUGCAACUCGACUGCGUGAAGUCGGAAUCGCUAGUAAUCGUGAAUCAGAAUGUCACGGUGAAUACGUUCCCGGGCCUU